GGCUUUUGGAAGUGACUGGGUUAUGGGUGUGUGAAACUGGAUUAGUGCAUUGAUAGGUAAAGUGUAGUUCUGGGUGUGGAUGGUAGAUUUACUGAAGAGGGAAGACCCAUGCUGAGUAUGGGUGGUGCCAACUAAUAAGCAUGGAGCCUGGAUGGAAUAAAAAAGGGAAAGAAGAAGGAACCCACCCUGGUUCCUGCCUGCCUUACCAUGAACUGUUUCUCCUCUGCCCUGCCUUGGAACUAGCCAACUGUGGACUGAAACCUCUACAAACUGUUACACCACCACCCUCCCUGGAUGCAGUGUGCAGUCAGUGAAGGUCUGAUAGGUGCAGCAUGAGCUGAGUGCCAGCCACAAUUGUAGCAGAAGAAGAAACCUAAGAGAGACUGAAUUUUCCGUACAG